UCCCUGGUGGCUCAGCGGUAAAGAAUCUGCCUGCGAUGCAGGAAACACAGGUUCGAUUCCUGGGUCGGGAA
rnacentral:tRNA from 1 species